GUAGUUUGACUCCGUGGCUACAGAACGACGCUGGCGGCAUGCCUAACACAUGCAAGUCGAACGAGACCUUCGGGUCUAGUGGCGCACGGGUGCGUAACGCGUGGGAAUCUGCCCUUGGGUUCGGAAUAACAGUGAGAAAUUACUGCUAAUACCGGAUGAUGACGAAAGUCCAAAGAUUUAUCGCCCAAGGAUGAGCCCGCGUAGGAUUAGCUAGUUGGUAAGGUAAAAGCUUACCAAGGCGACGAUCCUUAGCUGGUCUGAGAGGAUGAUCAGCCACACUGGGACUGAGACACGGCCCAGACUCCUACGGGAGGCAGCAGUGGGGGAAUAUUGGACAAUGGGCGAAAGCCUGAUCCAGCAAUGCCGCGUGAGUGAUGAAGGCCUUAGGGUUGUAAAGCUCUUUUACCCGGGAUGAUAAUGACAGUACCGGGAGAAUAAGCUCCGGCUAACUCCGUG
rnacentral:rRNA from 1 species